rnacentral:siRNA from 1 species
GUUAACGAACGAGACCUCAGC